ACGGAAGGCAGCAGUGGGGAAUAUUGGGCAAUGGGCGAAAGCCUGACCCAGCGACGCCGCGUGAGGGAAGACGGUCUUCGGAUUGUAAACCUUAGUCAACAGGGAAGAAAGAAAUGACGGUACCUGUGGAGGAAGCCACGGCUAACUACGUGCCAGCAGCCGCGGUAAUACGUAGGUGGCAAGCGUUAUCCGGAUUUACUGGGUGUAAAGGGUGUGUAGGCGGGGAGGCAAGUCAGAUGUGAAAACUAUGGGCUCAACUCAUAGCUUGCAUUUGAAACUGUUUUUCUUGAGGAUCGGAGAGGUAAAUGGAAUUCCCAGUGUAGCGGUGAAAUGCGUAGAUAUUGGGAGGAACACCAGUGGCGAAGGCGAUUUACUGGACGAUACCUGACGCUGAGACACGAAAGCGUGGGGAGCAAACAGGAUUAGAUACCCUGGUA
rnacentral:rRNA from 1 species